GAAAAUGGUCAAAGGCAAAAAACAAUGGCUGAAACCAGGUGAUUUGAGAACUAAGAAGCUAACAGAAUAUGAGAAACAAAGAAAUAAGCAAAUCAAGGAGAGCUGUGAGGUAAUGAACAAUCUUGAAGUAAAGAAUGUUACAAAUUCUUUGGUCAGUGCGGUUCAUCCCAAAUGUGCAAAUACAAAGGAAAAGGGAAUUAGGGUUGAGGUAGAUGAUGAUGAUGAGAAUAAACCAUCAGAGAGUGGGGAUGACAAUGAUGAUGAGUCAUUGGGUUCCUUUGACCGCGAGGAUCAAGAGAUGAUGCCACCUGGACUCCGUUUACAGUCUCAUUCAAGGCCAUUAAAUCCCACUCCAGAGGAAGGGACAGAUCCCUUAUGUCAGGACAUUGGUACCUAACCCUUACUACCUCAUAAUGUGCAACCUGAGCACGAGGUGACUGCAUCUAGCAGCAUUCCAUCACAGACACGCGGUCGUGGCCCGACACACGGCAUAUAGGCCCAACGCGUUGUCGAUAAGGAUGGAAAGAUGUUGGUUCCUAUACCUGAAUAGUUUCGUGCGCCAGUAAGAGAGAAGGCCUCUAAGCUGGCCUCCAAGAUUGGCAUAGAGGUUCGAACACAGUUACCAGACCUAAGUGUUUGUAGGUGGAAAAAGGUGAACAAUGCUGAAAAUGAGCCAAUGAUCCAACGUUUGGCGGAUCAGUUUGAUCUACUAGGAAAUCAGAGCGAUGUAGCAAAGGCUUUAGACAUACAGUUUGGUCGGCAAUUAAGUGGCUUCACCUAUAGGUUGCACAAAAAAUACAAGCAACUUAAGGAUGCAAAAGGAGAGGAGCACCAACAUGCAAGUGUUGCACGUGAUCAAUGGACAUCUCUAAUUGACAAGAAGUGGAAUAGUAAAGAAGUGGAAUAGUAAAGAAUUCAAGGAUGCAAAUGAAAACAAAACAUUGAUGUGGAUCAAAAUCAAUCCCGGUCAGAGUGUUCAUCUCAGUGCGUUCUAUUAAUUUUUUAAUUAGAUUAGUAGGCUUUGUUAUUUAAAUAUUUGAAAUUACAUUAAAAAAAAAACAAAUGAAUCAGAUAAUUGCAAAUGGAAAGUGCCCGAUUUGGCAGAAUUUUACAAGUCCAUCCCCUACAAUUCGGACACGCAUGAAUGGAUUUCGUCGGAGAGCCAAAUUAAUUAUGACAACAUGAUACAGACGCAAGCAAAACACCUCUCGGAGACUGGUGCAAUCCCCUUGACCCCAGAAGAGUUGUCAGUCAAGGUGCUUAAGCCAAGGGCAGAUUAUGUGAAAGGACUCGGCAUGAGGCCUUUUUCUUCUAUGAAGACUACUGUUGCACCUGCUGAAAAUAGUGACUAUGUUCAACGCCUUGAGAUGCAAAUAGCACAGCAAAAUGAACAAAUUGCAAGGUUUCAAAAGUCAGAGAAAAAACAAAACAAGAAGAUACAAAGUAUCAUAUAGUAUUCGAGGCAGAAAGGUAUCACGAGAAAUUUUGAGAGUGGGAAAAGUUUAGAUUCUGAUGAACAAGCUUCUUGGUUAGUAUAUCAUGUUUCUAUGUUAAUUUAGUAUAAACUUUCUUCUUCAACUAGGGUAAAAUAAAAAACUACUUUGACAGUUAGGCACGAAAAGUCCCAGAAAAAUAGUGAAAUAUGCAUGUAAAGGUCCGGGAAACAUCACAAACAGCUUGAGAUGGAGCAACAUAAAUUGUGCAAAUUUACGGAACAAGCACGUGGCUCUUGAUUUGAAAACUACUUUGAAAUUUGCACUAUUCCAAUGCUUAGGCACGAAAAUAAGUCUUGGGGAGGGGGGGAAAGCUUCAAAUAGGCAUGAAAAGGCUCGGGAAAUAUCAUGAACACCGCGAGAGGAACCAAUGUAAAUUGUGAAAACUUAUAGAACAAGCACGAGACUCCAAAAAAUUUACCAUUGUAUUCCAAACUUAUAGUAACCAAUGUAAGUUGUGGAAACUUAUGGAACUCGCACG